UGUAAAAAAAAUGAAUUCUUUAAUUUCUUUCAUUUAACAGGUAAUAUGGAGGUUUUCUUACCAUAGAGAUAUGUAGGGAUUAACCAGCCCAUAGUGACAGGAAGAAGGAACCAAGGAGCUCCCUGCUGAGCCCAUGUCAGAUGCAGGCUGGCAGUUAGGCUGGCAGUUGGUGAGUCAGUUGCUGACAGUUAGGGUUGGAAAUUGUGGGGAAAUUGGCUGUGUGAAUCUUAAAACUGCUCAGAUUCUACUUCAGAAGAUUUGAUUAAGCUAUUCCCCAUUUUUAAUAAUGGAGGUACUUGGUCAGAAAUGUAUUGAGAACUUUAAAAUUACUCUGCCCUGCUCAGACAGUGAAUUAGGGGAAGAUAAAGUUGCAAAAUACUAAAUGAACAAUGAAAAGUCCCCAACUCAUACUUAUAAGGAAGCAAAACCCUAAGCUAGGAUGUCUAUUUUUAGAUCUAAUACAAAAGGAUGCUAAGUAUCUAUAAAGGUUAAAUUAAUCACUAAAAGUUCAAGCAACUUACAAAAGCCAAGCUUAGCAAAAGAGAUAUGAAAUACUCAGAAGAUAUAAUAUACCCAGAGAAGGUGAGAACUAAAGAGUGAUGAGAACUAAUAAUGGGCAGUCCUGGGAAAAGGCAUCUAAUAUGAUUGGUAGAUGUGAAAAUAUAGGGGAGGUGACAUAAGAGAAAAUUCUCUUUAAAAGGACUUCUCUGAACUCAGUUCAGGAGUUCAGAGUUCAGAGGAGGCUCUCUGAACUCAGUUCAGGAGUUGAGGAUUUCAGUGAAGGACUGGAGCUUGCUUGGGAGGAUCUUGUGUUCUUGGGAGCAGAGCCAAGAUCAUGAAGUAGAAGCAGAGAAGUCCAAAACCACCAUGAGAAUUGUCUCUAAUCAAUCUUAAAAUAAUGGCACAAUAUGAAUAUAAGAGUGAAAGAACCAAAAAGGAAACAGAAUGAAACAGCUUUAAGAAGAGAAAAACCUAAAUGGUGGUUUGUAAUGAUCAUUUGGAACAAGAUUCAGAAGGCUCCUGCUACUGUGCUGCCAUCUUGGAUUCAUCUUCAAGAAUCUCAUUUUGAAAUUGGCAAUUUAAGGAGUUAUUUUGCUUCUCCAACUUGCUAUUUCUUGGAACAUAAAAAAUAUGAUUUCUAUAAAGGAUACUGUAUAUAAAUAUGUUAAUAUUUAUUUUAUUUGAAAGAAUAACUUCCUUUAUCAACAGAAACACAUACUUAAAGCAAGAUUGAUUUGAUCUUAAAUAAUUAGAUCAUGAUCAAUUUUUUUUUUCUUCCUAUAUGCUCUUGGCCUAUUUCCUGCACAUGUCAACAUUGACUUUAACUCUAAGACUCAGGAUUCUUUGUUUUUAAAUUUAACUUGUAAUUAGAGGCUUCCUUAAACUAAUAACAUCUGUUUUAUUUGUUAACCUUUAAUUCUAACGACAAUUAUGAAACAAAAAAUUCCCUGAUGUUUAGCUACUUCUCAUGAGAUUCAUUAUCAUGAAAAUAUGUAUUUAAAUUUCCUAACAAAUGAUUUUGCCUACUCAUUCUUAAUAACAUUUGCAAAAUACUUUUAAUUUCUUCAGUACAUUUUUGUUUUUGUUUUUAAAUCAUCCUUGGAGAAAGACAGAUAUAGUGUCAAAAUUAAGGUGUAUUAAUUGAUGCAUCUUUCAAAAUAUAACUUAGUUAUUACCUAUUGUCUAAAUUAUCUCAGUUCUCCCAGUUACUAAAUUUCUCACACUUUUCUUUCAUGUAGAUUUUACUUUUAUGUAACUAUUUUUAUGUUUUUCUUCAGCAGAGGAGAAUACAAUGUUACUAACAAUAGCUGUGAUUUCCAUAGAACUUUAGAAUCACAAAAGAAUUUUAAAUAGCUAAAAUUUUGCUAUUUUUAUAGAUAAGUAAAUAGAAUCUCAGAAAGAUUAUGUCACUUGUUGAAAGUGUCUGAGGCAGGACUCAAACACAGCUCUCCCUGAAUCAAACCAAGUGCUAUCUGGCUUUAAUAGAGUGAGUUCAAUUGUUUCAAGUCAGCUGGUAUCAUUUAAUAUUUAUUGGAUUAAAAUAUAUUGACUUCAAUUGAAAAUCAACCUAAGUAUCCCCUAUAUUCAUGUGGGGGAAGAUGUGGCACAAGUGCUCUGGGGUCACAGAGGGGGUUGCUCCUUUCCCCGUCUCCACAAAACCUGAGGAUAUUUUUUGCAUAUCCCACCCCUCUAUACAGGAGACCAUUUCAAGCACCUCCUCCCUUCCCUCUCUUGGGUAAUAUGGGUUGGGAGUGGGACUCAAAGGUGGUUUGUCAGUGCAAUAUGGCUUCCCAUCUUUAAAAGUUUCGCCAACACUGCCCUAUAUCUCUCUCUCCAGUAGCCAUCCUGAUUCUGUGUGAAAGGUUUUUCAAGUGUAAUCUUCUGAAUUCCUCAAACAAGAAACCUUGGAGGCAGUUGAACAAUUGAAAAUAAUUUCCCAAUAUAGAAUAAACUAGAAUUUACACCGAUUUUAAAAUCUACA
ensembl:lncRNA